UACGUAGGGGGCAAGCGUUGUCCGGAUUUAUUGGGCGUAAAGAGCGUGUAGGCGGCCUGUCAGGUCUGCUGUGAAAACUCGAGGCUCAACCUCGAGAUGGCGGCGGAAACCGUCUGGCUAGAGUCCGGAAGAGGAGAGUGGAAUUCCUGGUGUAGCGGUGAAAUGCGCAGAUAUCAGGAAGAACACCUGUGGCGAAGGCAGCUCUCUGGGACGGUACUGACGCUGAGACGCGAAAGCGUGGGGAGCGAACAGG
rnacentral:rRNA from 1 species